rnacentral:rRNA from 1 species
GGCAGCAGUGGGGAAUAUUGGACAAUGGGGGCAACCCUGAUCCAGCCAUGCCGCGUGAGUGAUGAAGGCCUUAGGGUUGUAAAGCUCUUUCGCACGCGACGAUAAUGACGGUAGCGUGAGAAGAAGCCCCGGCUAACUUCGUGCCAGCAGCCGCGGUAAU